AUGACGAAGGAAAAUGCUAUUAGGAUGUUGCAUGGUGAUUAUGAGGCCGCAUAUAACAUUCUGCCCAAGAUGUUGGCAGCCAUUGCUCAUCGAAACCCGGGAAUGCGCCAUCGGAUGGAGUCAACCGACGAUGUGUUUCGCCGUGCCUUCUGGAGCUUUGGACAAUGCAUUGAGGCAUUCAAGUAUUGUCGCCCGGUCUUGUCUAUAGAUAGUACAUUCUUGACCGGCAAAUACAAGGGCACAUUGAUGGUGGCGAUGGCCCACUCUUCAAAUGAUAACGUGUUGCUGGUGGCAUUUGCCUUGGUGCCUUCGGAGCACGAUGAUAAUUGGGAGUGGUUCAUGGGGCAUGUGAGAAUCAAGGUUAUAGGCAAGCGAGAGGUAUGCAUUAUAUCAGAG
rnacentral:rRNA from 1 species